rnacentral:tRNA from 1 species
UAGAUGAAUGCUCGUUGGUUUGAGCACCUAGCUGUUAACUAGGAGUUUGUAGGAUCGAGGCCUUCUCAUCUAGU